rnacentral:rRNA from 1 species
AGAGUUUGAUCCUGGCUCAGGACGAACGCUGGCGGCGUGCCUAAUACAUGCAAGUCGAGCGGAUCUUCCCUUCGGGGAAGGUUAGCGGCGGACGGGUGAGUAACACGUAGGCAACCUGCCUGUAAGACCGGGAUAACCCACGGAAACGUGAGCUAAGACCGGAUAGUUGGUUUCCUUGCAUGAGGGAAUCAGGAAAGACG